rnacentral:rRNA from 1 species
UGGGGAAUUUUGGACAAUGGGGGAAACCCUGAUCCAGCCAUCCCGCGUGUGCGAUGAAGGCCUUCGGGUUGUAAAGCACUUUUGGCAGGAAAGAAACGUCAUGGGUUAAUACCCCGUGAAACUGACGGUACAUGCAGAAUAAGCACCGGCUAACUACGUGCCAGCAGCCGCGGUAAUACGUAGGGUGCAAGCGUUAAUCGGAAUUACUGGGCGUAAAGCGUGCGCAGGCGGUUCGGAAAGAAAGAUGUGAAAUCCCAGAGCUCAACUUUGGAACUGCAUUUUUAACUACCGGGCUAGAGUGUGUCAGAGGGAGGUGGAAUUCCGCGUGUAGCAGUGAAAUGCGUAGAUAUGCGGAGGAACACCGAUGGCGAAGGCAGCCUCCUGGGAUAACACUGACGCUCAUGCACGAAAGCGUGGGGAGCAAACAGG